CAGCCAACGCUACAGAUCUACCUGAAACUGAGAAGGACGUGGAAGCUGAAAUCAGAAACACAUAUGUUCAUAUGCAGAGACGCCCGGACAGUGACAAGUAUAUAGAAAUGUCGUUAGGAAGAGGAGAGAAUGAAUACGUCAACACCACAUUAAAGUGAGUCCUGCCGUAUCUGCAUUGACUAUAUUGACCAAAAGGCUGGGGAAAACAAGGUCCUAAAUACACCAUAUCAAAGAUGAUCUUUAUCAACUUCAGUUAAUUUAUUCGUUUUUAGAAAUAUUAGUAGACGAUGAUUAAGUUAGAACGUUUGAUAUAUGCUUGUCAUACCUAUAUCAGGGUGUCAGUAUUACUAAUCAUAUGUUUUUUGUUUU